rnacentral:rRNA from 1 species
AACGAACGCUGGCGGCAUGCCUAACACAUGCCAGUCGAACGAGACCUUCGGGUCUAGUGGCGCACGGGUGCGUAACGCGUGGGAACCUGCCCUUAGGUUCGGAAUAACUCCCCGAAAGGGGUGCUAAUACCGGAUAAUGUCUUCGGACCAAAGAUUUAUCGCCUUUGGAUGGGCCCGCGUUGGAUUAGCUAGUUGGUAGGGAAAAAGCCUACCAAGGCGACGAUCCAUAGCUGGUCUGAGAGGAUGAUCAGCCACACUGGGACUGAGACACGGCCCAGACUCCUACGGGAGGCAGCAGUGGGGAAUAUUGGACAAUGGGCGAAAGCCUGAUCCAGCAAUGCCGCGUGAGUGAUGAAGGCCUUAGGGUUGUAAAGCUCUUUUACCCGGGAUGAUAAUGACAGUACCGGGAGAAUAAGCGCCGGCUAACUCCGUG